rnacentral:tRNA from 1 species
GAUCACCUCCUUUCUAAGGAUAAGGAAGUACGUUUGGAAGUCUUAUUUAGUUUUGAGAGGUCUUAAAAAAGUAAAGAGAACGUUAAGAAAUCUGUAUGAAAAUAGGAAAGAGACGCAGUGUCAAAAGACACAAGGAAGUUUAUCAUUUUCACUAAGAUUUUAGUUCGAAUACAAUUUAGAUCCAUAAUAUAGUAUGAGUAACAAGAUAAGAAACGUUAACAUAUUAACUGUGGGGCCUUAGCUCAGCUGGGAGAGCGCCUGCUUUGCACGCAGGAGGUCAGCGGUUCGAUCCCGCUAGGCUCCAUAGACGAGGAAGUCUCUAAAAUACGUGAAGUCCAUUGAAAAUUGAAUAUCUAUAUCAAAUUCCACGAUCAUGAAAAUGAUUGUAGAAAAAGUAACAAGAAAUAAACCGAAAAAAAGAUAAACGCGAACAUAUUAAAAAAAAUAAAGAAGGUCGAAAGACUGGAAAUAAGGUUAAGUUAAUAAGGGCGCACAGUGGAUGC